rnacentral:lncRNA from 10 species
CUGAGGCUUGCUUGCUAAGGUUGGACCAUAUAUUAUGGGAGCACCUUUUGCAAGGAUGAAAUACUCCGUCUGGAUGGAUGGGAAUAAUUCAGCUGGGGAUUUGGAGGCCCUAAAGGGCAGUGUAGCCAAUGGACAGGUGAUCCCAGGUACCUGCAUGAGUGGAGGCAGGCCCUUCCUGCAGACCUGCACUGAACUAUAACGUGGGCAUACAGGGCUGGCCUGAGUGAUCAAUAGAAUACUGUAGACGCAACAACAUGUGGCUUCUGAGGAAGCAUUGUAGCCUCUUGGUUUGUUCAUGCUGUGGAAGCCAGCUGCCAUGUCAAGAGGAUGCUCAAGCAGCCAUGUGGAAAGGCCCGUAUGACACAGCAAGAGAGUGGCCAACUGCAAGCCAGGAAGAAACCUUCAGCAGAUCCCAACCAUGCUAGUACCCUGAUCCAGACAUUCAGCCUUCAGAACUGUAAAAAGUAGAAUAAAAUUCUGUUGUUUAAGCCA